CCUACGGGGGGCAGCAGUGAGGAAUAUUGGUCAAUGGACGAGAGUCUGAACCAGCCAAGUAGCGUGAAGGAUGACUGCCCUAUGGGUUGUAAACUUCUUUUAUAUGGGAAUAAAAUGUUCCACGUGUGGGAUUUUGUAUGUACCAUAUGAAUAAGGAUCGGCUAACUCCGUGCCAGCAGCCGCGGUAAUACGGAGGAUCCGAGCGUUAUCCGGAUUUAUUGGGUUUAAAGGGAGCGUAGGUGGAUUGUUAAGUCAGGUGUGAAAGUUUGCGGCUCAACCGUAAAAUUGCAGUUGAAACUGGCAGUCUUGAGUACAGGAGAGGUUAGCGGAAUUCGUGGUGUAGCGGUGAAAUGCUUAGAUAUCACGAAGAACUCCGAUUGCGAAGGCAGUUCACUGGACUGCAACUGACACUGAGGCUCGAAAGUGUGGGUAUCAAACAGGAUUAGAUACCCCAGUAGUC
rnacentral:rRNA from 1 species